UCACUCACUCAACAAAUAAGCAUACAUUGAGCUCCUACUUCUGCUAUGUGUCAGGCACUGCUCUAGGCUCUGGGGCCCUAGCAGUGAACAAGAUGGACAUUGUGCUGUCACAGAACAAGCAGGAAAGAGCAGGUGGGAGGAUGUGGAGGAGUAAGCAGAGGCCAUGUAAGGUCAGACCAUUUAAACUGUGAAAAGGAAUUUGGAGUAUCCCUGGAGCAAUGUGAGACCACGGAAGGGUUUUAAGCAGAGAGAUAAAAAUGAUCAAAUUGACUGGGAUGAAGCAAGGGUGGAGGUAUCUGAAACCUUGAGAGACGAAAGCACAGAUAAGGAAAGCUGCUAUGUGUACACAUGUGUGUACACACACUCAGAUUCCAGCCUCGCAUGCUUCUUCAGAAAAGAACUGAGAGAGACAGAGAGAGAGCGAGGGGAGGGAGAGAAAAGCCAUGGCUCCUUAAAGCUUCCUUGGGAAUUCCUUCCUGGCUGCCACCUCCUUUCCUCCUGGGACAUUUUCAUCUAGUAGCUCCAUGUUCCUUGCACAGCCACUAAGCAGAUGAAGAGAUGGAGCCCUGAAGAAAGAAACUAGUCCAAAAUCAAACUCAAAGUCAGUGCUACCGAAUCCCAAGCCAGUGCUUCAAGAUAAUACAUUCUUCUGUUUUCCUUGACAAA